UACGAAGGGGGCUAGCGUUGCUCGGAAUUACUGGGCGUAAAGCGCACGUAGGCGGCUUGUUAAGUCAGGGGUGAAAUCCUGGAGCUCAACUCCAGAACUGCCUUUGAUACUGGCGAGCUUGAGUUCGGGAGAGGUGAGUGGAACUGCGAGUGUAGAGGUGAAAUUCGUAGGUAUUCGCAAGAACACCAGUGGCGAAGGCGGCUCACUGGCCCGAUACUGACGCUGAGGUGCGAAAGCGUGGGGAGCAAACAGG
rnacentral:rRNA from 1 species